rnacentral:rRNA from 1 species
UAGGGAAUCUUGCGCAAUGGGCGAAAGCCUGACGCAGCAACGCCGCGUGGGGGAUGAAGGCUCUCGGGUUGUAAACCCCUUUCAGCAGGGACGAUUGUGACGGUACCUGCAGAAGAAGGACCGGCCAACUACGUGCCAGCAGCCGCGGUAAUACGUAGGGUCCGAGCGUUGUCCGGAUUUAUUGGGCGUAAAGAGCUCGUAGGCGGCUCAGUAAGUCGGAUGUGAAAACUCGGGGCUCAACCCCGAGACGCCAUCCGAUACUGCUGUGGCUUGAAUCUGGUAGGGGAGAUCGGAAUUCCUGGUGUAGCGGUGAAAUGCGCAGAUAUCAGGAGGAACACCGGUGGCGAAGGCGGAUCUCUGGGCCAGUAUUGACGCUGAGGAGCGAAAGCGUGGGGAGCGAA